rnacentral:sRNA from 1 species
UCCGAUCACGAGGUGGGCAUCCAGAGGC